CCAAUGUGAAAAAACAGCGACGCAUCCUAAAUGAAGCAGCUUUCAGUGGGUUUUCUGCCUCCUUUGACCCAACUUCCUUCGCUAGCUGUGAUGAUGUUGACUCUUUUAUGGCUAACUUUAAUAAUCACUGUCUGACUCUGUUAGACACAGUAGCACCAGCUAAAAACGUUGUUAGCACUCAUAAAAAACCUUGUCCAUGGAUGAAUGAAACCAUUUUUAACUUCAAAAGAAGCUGUCGGAAAGUGGAACGGUUGUGGAAAACAACUAAACUGGAAGUGCAUCGACUCCAUCUUAAGGAAAAGAUAAUGGAGCUAAAUGAAAUAAUAAAGCGCGCCCGCUCUACUUAUUUCACUAACCUUGUUCUACAAAAUAAGAGAAACCCCAGAGUCUUGUUCAACACUAUUGAACAUCUUGUUACACCCCCACCGUCCCAUGUCCCUGUACACACAAGGGAUGAUUGUAACAUGUUUUUAAACUUCUUUGUAAAUAAAGUAGAAGAUAUUAGGGCCAGUAUCACGACUCCUUUGGUCAGCUUGUGCACUUCUGUAGCUCCCGUCAGCACAUGGUCCUCCUUCUCUCCUGUCAGCCUACAGGAUAUUCAGGAUCUAGUGAGAAAAAUGAAACCCACAUCGAGCCCUGUGGAUAUUAUUCCAACCUCACUGCUUUUAAAUGUUUUUGAUGAAGUCGGUCCAUGGUUGGUGAAACUGAUCAACCUCUCACUUAAAUCCGGCACAGUCCCCAGCUACUUUAAACACGCCCUAGUAAAUCCCAUUCUCAAAAAGCCUAAUCUUGAUCCAGGUCAGCCUAUAAACUACCGGCCCAUAUCUAAGCUUCCCUUCAUGUCAAAAAUGAUGGAAAAAGUGGUAGCCAAGCAGCUAACAUCAAUCAUGGAAGAUAAUGAUCUUUAUGAUAAAUAUCAAUCUGGUUUUAGGUCGAUCCACUCCACUGAAACUGCCCUUGUGAAGGUUUCCAGUGACGUGAUGAUGGCUGCUGAUUCUGGUCGCUACACAGUUUUAACUUUAUUGGAUUUAACAUCUGCUUUCGACACCGUAGAUCACAACACACUGAUCCAUCGUCUCAAAUCAGAAAUGGGGUUUUCCGGUGCUGUACUACAGUGGUUUGCCUCGUAUAUAAAUGGUAGAACUUUUAAUGUGGCUUUUAAUGAUGUAAUGUCCAAUGUGUCCACCCUGUCAUGUGG
rnacentral:lncRNA from 1 species